AGGAUUAUAGUUUAUUAAAACAUUUGAUUUGCACUCAAAAAAUAUUGAAUAUAAUUCAAUUUAUCUU
rnacentral:tRNA from 1 species